rnacentral:rRNA from 1 species
AGAGUUUGAUCCUGGCUCAGAUUGAACGCUGGCGGCAUGCUUUACACAUGCAAGUCGGACGGCAGCACAGGGAAGCUUGCUUCUCGGGUGGCGAGUGGCGAACGGGUGAGUAACAUAUCGGAACGUACCGGGUAGCGGGGGAUAACUGAUCGAAAGAUCAGCUAAUACCGCAUACGUCUUGAGAGGGAAAGCAGGGGACCUUCGGGCCUUGCGCUAUCCGAGCGGUCGAUAUCUGAUUAGCUGGUUGGCGGGGUAAAGGCCCACCAAGGCGACGAUCAGUAGCGGGUCUGAGAGGAUGAUCCGCCACACUGGGACUGAGACACGGCCCAGACUCCUACGGGAGGCAGCAGUGGGGAAUUUUGGACAAUGGGCGCAAGCCUGAUCCAGCCAUGCCGCGUGUCUGAAGAAGGCCUUCGGGUUGUAAAGGACUUUUGUCAGGGAAGAAAAGGCCGUUGCCAAUAUCGGCGGCCGAUGACGGUACCUGAAGAAUAAGCACCGGCUAACUACGUGCCAGCAGCCGCGGUAAUACGUAGGGUGCGAGCGUUAAUCGGAAUUACUGGGCGUAAAGCGGGCGCAGACGGUUACUUAAGCAGGAUGUGAAAUCCCCGGGCUCAACCCGGGAACUGCGUUCUGAACUGGGUGACUCGAGUGUGUCAGAGGGAGGUGGAAUUCCACGUGUAGCAGUGAAAUGCGUAGAGAUGUGGAGGAAUACCGAUGGCGAAGGCAGCCUCCUGGGAUAACACUGACGUUCAUGUCCGAAAGCGUGGGUAGCAAACAGGAUUAGAUACCCUGGUAGUCCACGCCCUAAACGAUGUCAAUUAGCUGUUGGGCAACUUGAUUGCUUGGUAGCGUAGCUAACGCGUGAAAUUGACCGCCUGGGGAGUACGGUCGCAAGAUUAAAACUCAAAGGAAUUGACGGGGACCCGCACAAGCGGUGGAUGAUGUGGAUUAAUUCGAUGCAACGCGAAGAACCUUACCUGGUUUUGACAUGUGCGGAAUCCUCCGGAGACGGAGGAGUGCCUUCGGGAGCCGUAACACAGGUGCUGCAUGGCUGUCGUCAGCUCGUGUCGUGAGAUGUUGGGUUAAGUCCCGCAACGAGCGCAACCCUUGUCAUUAGUUGCCAUCAUUCGGUUGGGCACUCUAAUGAGACUGCCGGUGACAAGCCGGAGGAAGGUGGGGAUGACGUCAAGUCCUCAUGGCCCUUAUGACCAGGGCUUCACACGUCAUACAAUGGUCGGUACAGAGGGUAGCCAAGCCGCGAGGCGGAGCCAAUCUCACAAAACCGAUCGUAGUCCGGAUUGCACUCUGCAACUCGAGUGCAUGAAGUCGGAAUCGCUAGUAAUCGCAGGUCAGCAUACUGCGGUGAAUACGUUCCCGGGUCUUGUACACACCGCCCGUCACACCAUGGGAGUGGGGGAUACCAGAAGUAGGUAGGGUAACCGCAAGGAGCCCGCUUACCACGGUAUGCUUCAUGACUGGGGUGAAGUCGUAACAAGGUAGCCGUAGGGGAACCUGCGGCUGGAUCACCU